GACGAACGCUGGCGGCGUGCUUAACACAUGCAAGUCGAACGGAAAGGCCCUGCUUUUGUGGGGUGCUCGAGUGGCGAACGGGUGAGUAACACGUGAGUAACCUGCCCUUGACUUUGGGAUAACUUCAGGAAACUGGGGCUAAUACCGGAUAGGAGCUCCUGCUGCAUGGUGGGGGUUGGAAAGUUUCGGCGGUUGGGGAUGGACUCGCGGCUUAUCAGCUUGUUGGUGGGGUAGUGGCUUACCAAGUCUUUGACGGGUAGCCGGCCUGAGAGGGUGACCGGCCACAUUGGGCCUGCGAUACGGCCCAGACGCCUACGGGCGGCAGCAGUGGGGAAUAUUGCGCAAUGGGCGGAAGCCUGAUGCAGCAACGCCGCGUGCGGGAUGACGGCCUUCGGGUUGUAAACCGCUUUCGCCUGUGACGAAGCGUGAGUGACGGUAACGGGUAAAGAAGCACCGGCUAACUACGUG
rnacentral:rRNA from 1 species